AGUUUCAACUGCUGUUGCCACAGCUGCCUUCAGAGUGCUCCAGUUUGAAUACAGAGACAUUCUUCUGAGACAACUCUUUUAAAUGUUAAAGAAGAAUUUGAUGCAACAAGAAGUAUACCUAAAGCUAUAUGCUUACCUUUUGGGUCAUUUAUGCCAACGAUAAAAUGGGUGAUGAUCAGAAUGUUUGUGCAUAAAAUCUUUUUUGAACAUCUGAUGCUUUGCACAUGCAAUCUUCAAGCUCAAUCAGACAUGCAACUGUGUAUACAAAAUCCUGUUGCAAAUUGCAUUCAACCGCUUAAAUAGCUCUUUGGAAAACAACUUCUGUUUAUUUUCAGGCAUGACCUUCAGUCUGUAAUACGGGAUCCACUACAAGUCUUUGGGAGGUGUUAUUACAGGAUUUUGACUGGAAAGCGAUUCUUGUUCCAAAUAGACUCUCCGUGGUGGUGAACAAGCAGAAGUUUGUAAGGGGCUGUGAAGAUAAUACUUCUUGGGUGUGAAGAGCUAUCAUGUUCAUAAUGGAUUCAACUGCAGGAACCUAAUACAUGGACAUGCAUUUUAACUGCUGCUUUUAUUAUCUCCUUUAAAAAAUUAGUUCUGUGAAAUUCCCUUGCCAGUUUUGCUUGAAAACUCUUCUUUUAGUUUUCUAUGUAAUAUAGUCUUGUAGCCCACAUCUCAGAAACCCAGACCUUCCAACUAUGUCUUGUGCAUUUUGUUCUCAUUUUCUUUUGAUUUCUUGAGGCCAGCUGAGGUCUACAUAGAUGUCACAUUCCUUGCUAUUUCUUGGUAGCCUGUGCCAUUAACAAUUAAAUUUAGUGAUCAAUGGCUUCAAAGUAAAGCACACUGUAUGUGAUUAUGACACAUUACAAUUAUGCUCUUGAAAUAUCUAGUGCUAUUAUCAGAAAUGACUGAAAAUAUUCCCUUCUUCCUAAAUUAACUGAAGACUUUAUGUUCAUGUGACUCUCAUAAGAUUUGAGCAUAUAUAUUAUAUAAUUAUCUAUUAUUUGCUAAUUAGACUCUUUCAUUCUAUUGUAAAGAAGAAGAAUGUCCUCCAAACAACCCGUUAUAACUUUCUGACAGUUGGUGCCAGAUGAGACUAAAAAUACAGUUUAAUAGAGAAUAUUAUUUUAUUCACUUUACAUGUUAUGAAAUACUUCUUCAAUAACUUUUUGUUGGUUUCUCAAAGGCAAUAUCCCAUGUGUAUGAACAGGUAAUCCAAGUGUACAAUUCCUUUGUAACAAAAAAGUUGAAUUUUUGUAAAAAGUGGGAAACAUUUCCUUCCAGUCCUCUCAGGUAUCAGAAUCACAGACUUCAGUCAAAGAGAGAGGAUAGGGCAGGACUCUUCUUGUUUCCACAAAUUUUCAGAGUAAUGCUUGAAGCAUGUGGCUUUGGGCUUCUGCUGCUUUAAAUGGCCCAGCGGCUUUCCAACCAAACCCUUAGAUUCAAUCUAUUGGUGUGUUUGUCUAAUAAGUUCUUUUGUAACUUAAAAAAAAAAUCUCUGGUGGAAGACACUAACAUGUUUACCAUACUUUCACAUUAAUAAAAGGGUAUAUUAGAUCCUUCUAACCAGACAGCUGGACAAAUUUGCCUUCAUGUCUCUAUUUUUAUCAUGUUCUCUACAUUAGUCAGGUUGGGCUAAGUUAUGCUGUGGGAACAAUUUAUUUCAGAAUCUCAGCAGCUUAUUGAAUUUUAUUUUCAUUUACAUAAGGUCCACUGUUGGUCUGGAAAAUUCUUCAGGGCAGCUUUCCUGAAGGUGAGGGGCUUAUUAUUCCAUACUGCUUCACUCUUACAGCAUCUGUAUUUGCAUAUGUUUCUAUGAUUCUGUGGAAAAGGAAACUUCAAAGUCAUGC
rnacentral:lncRNA from 1 species